rnacentral:lncRNA from 1 species
CUUCGCAUUAAUAAAACCGAUCGUAAAAUGCAGUUUUUCGAGUAACUGGGGGCACCACAGGGUUUCACGCAGCGAGCAAUGCCGAGGGCGGACCCGGUGCCCCCCGGCCGCCGCGCACCGCGGGUCUCAGGGCCGGGGGCCGAGCUGUGCGCCGAGUGCUCCGACCGCGGCCCCACCGCCCUCCGCCCCCGUCCUCUACCGCCCGGGCCGCUGCGCGCGGGGUUCCUCCCGCCCGGGGCAACGCGCUCCGGGGCCCGGCGCGGCGCUGGGGGUCCCCGCGCUCCCGGGCGGCAGCGGUGGGGCCGGGCCGUGCCCUCACUCCUCCUGGCUGACCUCAGCCGGCGAGCCCAGGCUCUCGGGGGGUUUCUCGGCGUCCCGGGCGCGCUCCUGCUCCGAGAGCUGCUCGCUGCUGGGGAUGGAGUUCUUCUUGGGGCGGCCCUUGGGCUUGGUGGGGGACUCCAGGCCGCCCCCCUGCAGCACUAUUUUCUUCCAUUUCAUGCGCCUGUUCUGGUACCAGGUUUUCACCUGGAGCUGGCUGAGCCCCAGCGAUUCGGCCAGGUCUAUUCUGUCGGGCGUCGAGAGGUACUUCUGC